rnacentral:rRNA from 1 species
GAAUUUUGGGCAAUGGGCGAAAGCCUGACCCAGCAACGCCGCGUGAGGGAUGAAGGCCCUCGGGUCGUAAACCUCUGUCGGGAGGGGAGAACGGUCGCGAUUCGAACAGGGUCGCGGCCUGACGGUACCUCCAAAGGAAGCCCCGGCUAACUCUGCGCCAGCAGCCGCGGUAAUACGGAGGGUGCAAGCGUUGUUCGGAAUCAUUGGGCGUAAAGCGCGUGUAGGCGGCUUGGCAAGUCGGUUGUGAAAUCCCGGGGCCCAACCCCGGAACUGCAUUCGAAACUGCCUCGCUAGAGUCCCGGAGAGGAAGGCGGAAUUCCCGGUGUAGAGGUGAAAUUCGUAGAUAUCGGGAGGAACACCAGCGGCGAAGGCGGCCUUCUGGACGGUGACUGACGCUGAGACGCGAAAGCGUGGGGAGCAAACAGG